AUCCUGCUGCCAUGUUCGCUGGCGUAGCCGGCAACAUCCCAGGCGGUCAAGGCCAUCGAGACCGCGGCAUGCCGAUCGCGUGCUGGCUUUCAUCCUCUUCCGGACGCACCGCGUCCAUCCAAUCCACCCACUUGGGACAACCCGUCCCCUGUGGCCGG
rfam:Tolumonas auensis DSM 9187, complete genome.